rnacentral:rRNA from 1 species
AUGGAGGCUCUUGAAAAUGAUGAAACUAUACUGCUGUUUCAGGACAUCCUUGUGAUUUUAAAGACGAAGAAGAGAGUUCUCUUACUAGCUAUAUAUAUUAUUACUAAUCAAGGCCUUUUUGCUAGGAGAGGUAGGAGAAGAAGGAAGGGUGCGGCAGGGUGCAGCGGUGCGAGGGCACUGGUCUCCCGCGUGAGGAGCGCCUCUCCUCGGGAGGAUCUGGAGGGAGUGAGUGAAACUCAAAUCCACUUCAGAGCAAGGUACUGUUGUAGAAGUACGAAGAAGCAAGCUGACCAGAUGUACAAGUAG